rnacentral:misc_RNA from 1 species
AAGUCGUAACAAGGUUUCCGUAGGUGAACCUGCGGAAGGAUCAUUACAAGAAACGAGGCCGCGUGCGCUCGCCCGCCCGGCCCCGCUCCUUACCUUGCCUACUGCACCGUUUGUUGCUUCCUGGCGGCGGACUGCCCGCCGCCAGGGACGUUGAUACAAUCCUGUAUAGAAGCAUUGAAGCUCUGAGAAAACGCGAAAUCGUACAACUUUCAACAAUGGAUCUCUUGGUUCUG